AGUUGAUCCUGGCUCAGGAUGAACGCUAGCUACAGGCUUAACACAUGCAAGUCGAGGGGCAGCAUGAACUUAGCUUGCUAAGUUUGAUGGCGACCGGCGCACGGGUGAGUAACGCGUAAAGAACUUGCCCUGCAGUCUGGGACAACAUUUGGAAACGAAUGCUAAUACUGGAUAUUAUGUGAGUUUCGCAUGAAAUUCAUAUGAAAGCUAUAUGCGCUGCAGGAGAGCUUUGCGUCCUAUUAGCUAGUUGGUGAGGUAACGGCUCACCAAGGCGAUGAUAGGUAGCCGGCCUGAGAGGGUGAACGGCCACAAGGGGACUGAGACACGGCCCUUACUCCUACGGGAGGCAGCAGUGGGGAAUAUUGGACAAUGGGCCAAAAGUCUGAUCCAGCAAU
rnacentral:rRNA from 1 species